rnacentral:pre_miRNA from 1 species
ACUUGUGGGACCUGUUCUGUUCAGUAUGUAUGCGGCGGUAUUAAUGAGCUCUGCCCAUAGCACUUGCGGUAAUGGCUCAUGAGCGUACAUCAUUGAUCUUGCUAUCUCCG